GACGAACGCUGGCGGCGUGCUUAACACAUGCAAGUCGAACGGAAAGGCCCUGCUUUUGUGGGGUGCUCGAGUGGCGAACGGGUGAGUAACACGUGAGUAACCUGCCCUUGACUUUGGGAUAACUUCAGGAAACUGGGGCUAAUACCGGAUAGGAGCUCCUGCUGCAUGGUGGGGGUUGGAAAGUUUCGGCGGUUGGGGAUGGACUCGCGGCUUAUCAGCUUGUUGGUGGGGUAGUGGCUUACCAAGGCUUUGACGGGUAGCCGGCCUGAGAGGGUGACCGGCCACAUGGGGAAGAAGAGACGGCCGAGCAGGCCACGGGAGGCAGCAGUGGGGAAGAUGGGAUAAGGGGCGGAAGCCUGACGCAGCAACGCCGCGUGCGGGAUGACGGCGUGCGGGUUGUAAACCGCUUUCGCCUGUGAAGAAACGUGAGUGAAGCUAAUGGGUAAAGAAGCACGGGCUAGGUACGUG
rnacentral:rRNA from 1 species